rnacentral:lncRNA from 1 species
AUGAGUCCACGCGGGGCUGGCGGCCUCCCUGCCCGCCCAUGUCCCGCACCCUCCUCCGUCUCAGCGGAAACACAGGGGCCAGGAAGCCCUUCAGAAGUUGUCAGGGGUGACCCAGGGAGAGGAGUCCCGCGCAGAAAGUGCAAACGCCUUCGUGGCGGGUGGCUGCGCCCUUCCCUGGGGCCCCUGCAGCAGAGCCCACAGUGCCAGAAGAAACGUGGGGACAUGUCAUCGUAGAUUUGACCGCCACACCGCUGGGUCUUGAUUCCACAUCGGGCGCCAUGGUAAGAGCUGCUGAUCCAGCACUCGGAAUGCAGUGGUAGGAGAAGGAGCUUGUUCAGUGCAGCAGGACGGACUGGCGUGUUCACCGAACAAGAGAAGAUAUACUGGCUUCUUGUAGCUGCUAUAACAAAUUAUCAUAGGCGAUAAUUUGAAACAUCAGAAGUUGAUUGUCUCACAGCUCUGAAGGUCAGAAGCUCUCAAUAAAUGAACUGACAGGGCCCCGUGAUCUUGGCCG